AGAUUGAACGCUGGCGGCAUGCUUUACACAUGCAAGUCGAACGGUAACAGGCCGCAAGGUGCUGACGAGUGGCGAACGGGUGAGUAAUGUAUCGGAACGUGCCCAGUCGUGGGGGAUAACGCAGCGAAAGCUGCGCUAAUACCGCAUACGAUCUAUGGAUGAAAGCGGGGGACCGUAAGGCCUCGCGCGAUUGGAGCGGCCGAUAUCAGAUUAGGUAGUUGGUGGGGUAAAGGCUCACCAAGCCAACGAUCUGUAGCUGGUCUGAGAGGACGACCAGCCACACUGGGACUGAGACACGGCCCAGACUCCUACGGGAGGCAGCAGUGGGGAAUUUUUGGACAAUGGGCGCAAGCCUGAUCCAGCAAUGCCGCGUGCAGGAAGAAGGCCUUCGGUCGUAACUAGCUUUGUUACGGAACGAAACGGUACCGUCGGUUAAGUACCUGGGCGUAAUGACGGUACCGUAAGAAUAAGACACCGCUAACUACGUGCCAGCAGCCGA
rnacentral:rRNA from 1 species